GACGAACGCUGGCGGCGUGCCUAAUACAUGCAAGUCGAACGCAGUGGGGACGGGUGAGUAACACGUGGGUAACCUCCCAUCAGAGGGGAUAACCCUUGGAAAAUGGUGCUAACCCGCUACUGAUGGAUGGACCCGCGGUGCAUUAGCUAGUUGGUGAGGGAACGGCUCACCAAGGCCACGAUGCAUAGCCGACCUGAGAGGGUGAUCGGCCACACUGGGACUGAGACACGGCCCAGACUCCUACGGGAGGCAGCAGUAGGGAAUCUUGGGCAAUGGACGAAAGUCUGACCGAGCAACGCCGCGUGAGUGAAGAAGGUUUUCGGAUUGUAAAGCUCUGUUGGUAGAGAAGCGGUAUCUAACCAGAAAGCAACGGCUAACUACGUGCCAGCAGCCGCGGUAAUUC
rnacentral:rRNA from 1 species